rnacentral:lncRNA from 1 species
UCAUCAAGAUAAUGCCUGAUGAGUCCCACAAUCCACCAGUGACACCUAGCAGUAAGUAGUGGCAACUCAGUAGAAUAAAAAUAUGAACAUCUAGGUGCAGUUAUCAUAUGAUUCAGUUCUUCUAUCGUGAGUCCCGACUUGAUGGAGGUCAUGGAGAACUCGUUAGACCCCAUUGUCAGUCAUAUGUAAGAUUGGCUUGACUCAAGUUCAUUUGUGAAUUCUGUGAAAAUUUUUUUUUAGUAUUCACACUUGCUUUGGCUAAAAAUUUUCUGAACUCAGUCUCACAAAUCACAUAGAACUCUUUUUCUACCAAGAUCGAUAAAUUUCUUCUAGAUGCAUCCUACUUCAAAUAGCAAAUCUGAACUUACUGAAAUGAAUAUACACAGCAAGGAUCCGAAUGGCUAGAGACCAAGAGAACAUACAGUCAAACUCAGUAGCCUCACUGCGAAUAGCCAAUGACACCACAGGUCAAAAGACCACUCACACCACU